UGUCGCCGGCGCCGCCGACCCUCCACCUUCUCGUCGCUUCGGUCACAGCAACGGUGAACCCGCCUCAGCCUACAUCUCUAUGCCUCGCGCUAGGGUUUCGUGUUUCUUGAUCCGCUCUUCUCACAGACUGUCUCGCUAGGCCACGGCUGAUUAGGGCUUCGACGUCGAGCAACACAGCACGAGAACCAGAAUCUGAGAGCAGCAGGAGAUCUGAGGGCGCUGUGCCUCCUGCUAUUGCUUGGAUAAGAGAUCUGGGGAUUGCUAAAAGAACAGAAGAUAUCAGAUUCUACAUUGGAGAGACCUUUCACCACAUUCUGUAAAGCAGAUGAAGACAUAGAUCGAGCAGUCAUCGUUCUUGUGGAAACAAACGCCAGAGGGUUGUACCAGUAGGACAUCACUUCUCUCCAGAUUCAGGUGCAAGGUCCAGCUUGCAGGUAUUUAUUUUAUAAUAGUCUUGAUUCAGAAGCUCCAUGCGUCUGCAUUUAUUUUGUGAUUUAAGUCCCUGUUCUGAUUCCCGAAAUGUUGAUUCCCUGUCCUAAUGGUAGCCCAUAGAUGUAUGCUCUUUUUAGAUUUGGUUAAGCUGGCAAUGAUUGCGUUGCUCCAUCGCCUCAAU